rnacentral:rRNA from 1 species
CCUACGGGUGGCAGCAGUGAGGAAUAUUGGUCAAUGGACGCAAGUCUGAACCAGCCAUGCCGCGUGCAGGAUGACGGCUCUAUGAUUUGUAACCUGCUUUUUUACGAGGGUAAACUCAGAUACGCGUAUGUUUCUGUCUGUACCGUACGUAUAAGGACCGGCUAACUCCGUGCCAGCAGCCGCGGUACUACGGAGGAUUCAAGCGUUAUCCGGUUUUAUUGGGUUUAAAGGGUGCGUAGGCGGGCGGAUAAGUUAGAGGUGAAAUGCCGAGGGUCAAAUUCGGAACUGCCUCUGAUACUGUUCGGCUAGAGAGAAGUGGCGGUAGGCGGAAUGUAUGGUGUAGCGGUGAAAUGCUUAGAGAUCAUACAGAACACCGAUUGCGAAGGCAGCUUACCAAGCUACGUCUGACGUUGAGGCACGAAAGCGUGGGGAGCAAACAGGAUUAGAUACCCGAGUAGUC